CUACGUGGACAUACGUGAUUGGGGUUAGAGGCGGGGCUUGGGGAAAGGCGGGAGGUGUUUCUUUCUGAUUGGUCCUCCUUUGGCAGGCCUGUAUCGAGGAGGAAGAAGAACCCGGAACCAGCGCCAUUAAGGUACUCCUGUUGCCUCACAAUAUCUCUCCAGAUUGCCUACCUUCCUCCCCUCACUCUCUCCAUUCCAGCUGCACUGGCUCCUUGCUCUUCUUUGAACACAUUAGGCACAUCCUGCUCCGAGACAUUUGUACUUGAUGUUCCCUCUAACUAGAAUGCUCUUUCUCUGGAUAUCCAUAAGUUUCUCUCCUCAUCACCUUCAAAUCUUUUCCCUCAUGUCAUCCUCUCAGAGAGACAUAUUCUGACCACCCUCUUUAAACUGUAAUCUUUACCAAUAUUCUGUACUACUUAUUCACCAUCUCUGCUUUUGUAUUUUCUUCUUAGUACUUGCUACUUUCCAGCAUGAUCUGCUUUUCCCUAAUAUUUUAUGAUUUAUCAAUCACCCAUUAGAAUAUAAGGUCCAUGAAAACACGAAAAAUAUUUUUUUUUUUUUUGACUGAUCCCACUACCUAGAACAGUGCUUCUUGGUGCAUAGUAAUUACUCAAUAAAUAUUUGUUGGAUGAAUGAAUGAGUAGAUGUCUUGAAAGUAAAAUAGGAAGGAAUAUGGUGAUGUCAUACAAUUUUAUUAAAAAAUAUAUGCAUCCCUAGUAUUCUAAGAAUUAGCACAUAGUAAAAUUAUAGCCUAAUUUUAUAAACUCUAAAAUCACUUUUAUGGUUUUUAGCUGCUGUUUUUCAAGACAAAACUCCAAACAAGUACAGUUUUCAGUAUUCCUUAUGAUAUAUUCAUCAUUAUUUCAAAUGAACUGGCUUUAUGGGGCCUGCACAAUCAUCUUUAGAUAAAAAUGACCUCUUUUAUUUCUGGGUGACUAGACACAAGCCUUAAUUUUUAAAAAGGAAUUCUAUGCAGAAGGGACAGUGUUUCUUCCUGUCUUCUUUCACACUUUGCACACCCAGGCCAUCUGGAGUGAAACUGAAGUUUGCCCAGAGCUGCUGGAAGCCCCAGCUGCCCUGCUGCCCACGGAGUCCUCUGAGAAGGACGACUCCAGAGGCCCUCAACUCCUUGGAGGAGGCCCUGGAAUUUGAACCACCAUCUUCUGGACUGACUCAAAUGCAGAGGAAGCCAGGCCUGCUGCUAACAUUUCUGAGAGGUGGCAAGAGUAUAAAUGGAGAUCCACAUAUGUAUAAAUAAAGAGUGUCAAUCAAGCUAACAAACUGUUUAAUAAAAUAUGAUCUACCCUCUUAGCUUGACAAAUCAACUUUUCAAACACCUGGAAGAACAAGUUUGCACUCAGGAUUCUCAGACUCCUCAGAGUUCUGCACUGGGAUGUGGAAGGGCUGUGCAAGCCAGCCCUUGGGUCCCUGAUCCCUGCCUCCUGGCCUGUGCCCGUCUCUUCUCAGCCUGGCUCCAACUCCCAUUGAGAGGAAGUUCUUGUACACAUAUGAUAUGCAGCCCCUAUGUCUAAUAUUUAUCCAUACCUUCUGCAAACAGCCACUGUGUGACCACACUUAGGCUUCCCAGGGGUCUGCAAACUGACAAUACAGACAAAGGGAACCAAGGCAGAGGCUCACAGACUGUAGAAAUGGGCUUGGGGCCAUUUGGGCAGAGACUUGUGGAAUCCCAGGUAAGCAGGGCAUCUUAGUUUGCUUGUGUUGCUUAAACAAAAUACUAUGGACGAGGUAAUUUAUAAAUAUUAGAAUUUACUUCUCAGAGUUCUGGAGGCUGGGAAGUCAAAGGUCCAGGUCAAGGUGCUAGCAGAUUUGCUGUCUGGUGGGAGCUGCUCCCUCUGCUUCCAAGAUGGCACUUUUUUGCUGUGUCCUCUGGAGGGGAAGAAAGCUUAGAUGGGCAAAAGGGGGCAAUUAUCUCUCUGAGACCUCUUUUGUAAAGGUAUUAAUCCAUUCCUGAGGCUCUGCCCUCAUGACUUAAUCACUUUCCCAAAAUCACAUCUCUUAAUACUACCUCAGUGAAGAUUAAGUUUCUUUAUGAAUUUUGAAGGGGUCACAUUCAAGCCACAGCACAGAGCAUGACCUAGCAGAGGAGAUGCAAGCUCUGGGUGUGCAAGUCCCCUUUGCUCCAUGGACGUGGCUGGCGGGUACCUCUCUAUAGCACAGGGCCCAGAGCACCCUUCUUGCCUUGGGUUUAGGGAUAGUAUAGGUGGUGGUGGUGAGGCUACUUUUGCUCAUUAAGAAAAGCCUCUUUGAGGGGUGGGACUGAGAAUGACAUUUGAAUGGAAACUUGAAUCAUAAAGAUGAGUCAUCCAAGCCAAGACUUGGGAGAAGGGCAUUCCUAAGUGAGAGAAGAGGAUAUGCCCAGCUCUCAUAAGCUCUAAGGAAGAGUCACCAACUGGGAUGGGUGGAGCCUAAUUAAGAGGAGAAGAAUGGUAAGAGAUGAGGUGAGAUGGUCAGGCAGGAGCAGGGAGCCUGGAGGUCAGGUAAGGGGGCUUGACUUUGCCAUGGGUGCAAUGGGAAGCCUCUGGAGGGUUGAUACGAUUUGAAUUCUGUUACAGCACGAUCACUCUGGGUGCUGUGUGAAAUGGAUGAAUAACAAGGAGCUGCAGCCAAGAGCAAAUCAACAGAAGCACCACUCAAAAUGCCUCAAUACCCAUUACAUAAGGAUUCUUGUGGUUAAUUCUUCCCCAAAAUUUAGAGCCAAGAAAAAUCCAGCUCUCCUACUGAGAGUUGUAGAUUAGAGCUUCUGUUUCUACUCUACAAACAAAUGUGUGCAAUGUCUUUUCAUGACAAUUCCAACUUUAUCAUAAGGCUGUCUACUAAGAAACCAGUAGGCAGGUUUCUCUUCUUGUGUAGACCACCUGAAAGCUCAUAGCUGAGUUUGCACUUAUUUGCAGAGUAAACUGCUCAUUUGUCAAUCUGGCAUCCAAUCACAACUUUUUAGCUAACUACCUAUAUGUUUUCAUAAACUUUUCUCACAUAGUAUACAUUUUAAAUAAAUAACAAUAGCAAUUACUCAUAUAAGUAGUAACAACUUGAGACUGGCAUCUGUCUAGUGGUUCUUUCACCAGUGUGUACACUGGAAUUUUUGUUUGUUUUGUUUUUUGAUGUUUGUACAUUGUAAUUGCAGGACAGGUAGUAAGAAGAUUUUAAAUUCACAUUAGCUUUGCUACCACUAAAUUAUGGUGACUGUUUCUAAUUUGCAAACAAAUGUAUGCAAUCUCUUUUUAUGAUUAUCCCGACUUCAUCAUAAGGUUGUUAUAUUUUAAGACAUAUGAAAAGGUAUAAAGUAUAAUACAGUGAAUACACAUAUAUCUAACUCCCAGUUUAAGAAAUAAAACAUUAGCAAAUACAGCAGAAGCUCCAUGAAUUCCCCUCCCAAAUCAUACUCCCUUCCCACCCGCCAUCCAAGCCAAGACUUGGGAGGGCAUUCCUAAGUGAGAGAAGAGGAUAUGCCCAGUCUCUAUUCUGAGACUGGUGUUUAUCACCACCAAGAAUUAAAAAAAUACUUUUACUAUAUAUACACAAGUAUGUACCCCUUAGAAAUGAGUAGUAGUACUGUUUUGUGUGUCUUUACACUUUAAGUAAAUGGUAUAAGUUUUUUCUUGUUUUUGCUCAAAAUUGUUGAUAUUUAUGCCCUUUGAUUCUAUAGCUGAUUGACUUUCACUGUGAAUCAUUCCAUCAUUAUUUCUAUAUUAAUUCUCCUGCUGAAGUACGUUUCAGGUUGUUUCUAUUCCUCUCCUGAUCCCCCUCCCCCAACACACAUGCUUUUAUUAAUAAAUCUGCUGGAACAUUCUUGCAUACAUCUCCUUGGUUGUGUUGUAUCAUAAACCACAAAAUACACUGAGCUUUUCAGA